CUACGGGGGGCUGCAGUGAGGAAUAUUGGUCAAUGGGCGCAAGCCUGAACCAGCCAUCUCGCGUGCAGGAUGACUGCCCUAUGGGUUGUAAACUGCUUUUAUAUGGGAAGAAUUAGCCACGAGUGGUGAACUGACGGUACCAUAUGAAUAAGGACCGGCUAACUCCGUGCCAGCAGCCGCGGUAAUACGGAGGGUCCAAGCGUUAUCCGGAUUUAUUGGGUUUAAAGGGUGCGUAGGUGGAACUAUAAGUCAGUGGUGAAAGUUUGCGGCUCAACCGUAAAAUUGCCAUUGAAACUGUAGUUCUUGAGUAUUUUCGAAGUAUGCGGAAUGUGUUGUGUAGCGGUGAAAUGCAUAGAUAUGACACAGAACACCAAUAGCGAAGGCAGCGUACUAGGGAAUUACUGACACUGAUGCACGAAAGCGUGGGGAGCGAACAGGAUUAGAUACCCUAGUAGUC
rnacentral:rRNA from 1 species